GUUAAAUAAUGGAUGGGGUGAGGCCACAUUGUGGAAGGGCUUGAAAAAUAAUGAGAGAAGUUUGACCUUCAUGUGAAGAGUUCAUAUUUGUUACUUCUAAAAAAUGAUUUGAGAAUAAUUAAACUAAAAUGACCCAUAAUCACUAGGUCCGUUCCAUAAAGAUAAAAGACAAGAGCUAUAGAUAACAGGGGAGAGAAUUGCACCAGAACCCUAGGCUAAGGCUGGUUAUUAAAACCAUGUAUAAAAUUUAGCUCUGAGUUGCCUGGCUCCUUUGGUUCAGAAAAAACAGAAGCCUUUGCAGGCUUUUGAGUGGAGGUUUCCUAUUGUGCAAAGGCUUCGUAAGGGAGUUGAAUCUAGCACUUCUGUGCAGGACAGAUUGGAUGGGGAAGAAAUAAGAGUUCCCUGAGGAAGUCACUGCAAGAACCCAAAUGUGAAGUGAUGAAAAUGAAGGCAGGGGAAAGGGAAUCAGGGAACAGAUAUGGAGGAGGAUUCAAACAAGCUUAAGAGGACUUGGCAAGGAAUAGCUUCGGGGAUAAAGGACAUGUAGAUGUCAAAGAUGACUGAAGAUUUAUAUCUGAGCACUUACAGUAGUCAAGUGUCUGCUGCUAAAAUGCCAUGUAUCCAACAAUCCCAUAAUCUCAGUGCCUUACAACAAUAAACAUUUAUUUAUUGCUUAUGGCUGUGCAGGUUGGCUAUGUAUAUACCUUAGGAGGCUGGAACCAGAUAGGCGUGGGCCCAAGCUGCCAGCUGUGUUCAGGUCUAUUCCAAGUGUCUUUUCAUUCUGGGACCAGAGUUUCACCCAGGCAAAUUCAUCUUGGGACAGGAGGCAAAAGUGCAAGGGACUAAGCCAAGCCAAGGCAUACAUAUGCAGUGUUUCCUGUUGCAAACCAGCCAACCUCGGGGAAGAGUGGACGUUUGGCUCCUUUAGAGGCCACCCUGCGAUGCUUAAAGUCCCUGCUCACAUCACUUCCACUAAUGUUUCUAUUGGCCACAGGAAGUCACGUGGCGAAGUUCAAAGACAGCAGGAGGAAGAAGUGUUGACACUGCAAGGUCACGCAUGUGGUGGGAGGAAUAAAGACGAAAGAACAGUAACCCAAUCCGCCGUGGCAAAUAAAAUGAGUGAUACUCCAGACGUGGAAAGUAGGAGUGCAGUGGGGUGGGAUGGUAGGUUUCUUAAAGAGAGGCACACUUGCAACAUGACAAACGUGUCUGAUGCAGAGCUCUGAGACUAGUCAGGAGAUCUGGGUUCCAGAUCUAAGUUGGGGUCAAUACUCAGCCUUUCUCUUGCUAUUUCUCUGCCAUAGAUGUUAAAACUAGACCAUCUAGUGGAUUUUUUGUUUUCUGUAUCCAAGUUUAUCAUUCUUUUCCCUUUCCCUGACACACUGUGGUUGUGUUCCUGCUGUACAGUUGCCCCUGAGAUUAGCCUUGGAGCUGACAUUGGUGGAUUUGCCAUAAAAACAGCUAUCAAAAUUGGGACCUACUAUUAGACGAAAAAGACUAGAAGGAAAUAUUCCAAGAUGGUACUGCCGGUGGCAGGGGGACUUCAGGCUAUUUUAGGUCUUUCUGUAUUUUCCAAACUUUCUACAAUGAGAAUAUAUAAAUUUUAUAAUUUCAAAGAUUUUUAAAUGAUUUAUUAACAAUCUUGUCAUUGGCUCAACUCUGUUUCAUCCAUCCUUUGCUAAUACAUAUCAAAAGAAAAAUUAUAUCUCUGAAGCAUUAGCCAGCACAAUGGACCUGCCAAACCAUGCCUUCCCUGAAGGACUCCACUCAUCACCUAACACAAGGGCAGUGCCUGUCUUUCCAAUACUAAUUUCUCAGACGUAGUUUGAGGUUUUGUUUUCUUUCUUCUCCUGAAUUUUUAGGGGAAGUGGGCAGGGAGGGGAUUUUUAGUUUGAAUACAAAAGAGCAAAUAGAGUUUUUCCUCUUUUCUUUUACUUAGUUGUUAUUGUUGUUUUGGUUUUCAAUCUGUCUAGAAUGAAGUCAGGCAUGAAGCAGCACAAGAAAUCCACCAGCCUGUGGACUUCCCUGGGCUUUCCAAGUGCUCCUCAGCCCCUCCCACACUUAGUCUUCCCACCACAAUGAUGCGUCCAACAGCAGGCAAAACCAUUGACCUGGAAAGAGUACUCUGCUGGAGCUCUCUUCACCAGUCAAGUCCUCAUUCUUUGCGGCCACAGGAGAGCAGGUUUUGAAUACAAGGAGAAUGGGCUUUGAGUCAGGCUCAUCUGAACUGGAGCUACUAAAAUAACCCUCCCCUUGACCCUGCCCUCUCUAUACCACUGUCUAGUGUCUCAUAUCUAACCUGUCAUUCAUACCUCCCCAGAGCCGCUGCCUUCUCCUCCUCACCUCCCUUGAGAUUUGCAUCUCACACAGCCUGGCUUCUGUCUUACUCCUCCCUGUAGAGACACUACUCCCUGGAUCCUCCACAAUCUACUUGGCAAGUCCAAAGUUCAGCUCCUAGUUUACUUUGGUUGCUGGGCUGCACAGGAAAUCUUCAAUUACUCAUUCUUCAAACUCUUACUCCCUUGGUUUCUAUGAAAUCAUGCUCUCCUGGUUCACCUGGGCUCUCUGAACAUUUGAAUUCCUGUUUCUUCCUCUCUCUCAGCUUUUACUUGUUGUUCUCUUGGAUGACGCCCUUUGCCCACUGAUAUUCUCACUCCACACUCACCCAGUGGUCUGAUUCAUUCCUUGUUUCAACCACAAUUCAUAUGCUAAUAACUCCAGCCCAGACCUUUCUCCUCUGAUUCAUAUUUCCUGGAGGAGCUGGUCAUCCCAUGGAUGUUUCAUCGGCCUAAAACCCAGCAUGUCCAGAGCUGAAUUUCUCUCUCCAUUAAGGCUCUUUGGUUACAAGCAACAGGGAAUGACUGAUCCUGACUAGCCCAUGCACAGAUUAAUGCACAAUUAAUCCUUCCUUCAUUGGAAAGAUUGCAAGAUGGUUCCUAGAAUCAAGGAAAUCACUGAACAGCCUGGUGUCUGGUGGGCAAGAACCAGGUUACUGUAUUGAUUCAAGUUCCCAGGAGUGAAUUUGAGCUGCCCAGCUUGGCUCAUGGCUCCACAUCUUGGGUCUGCUAUCAGAAUAAAGGGUGACAAGAGAGGCAAAAGGUCCCAGACAGACAAGACAAUAGCCAUCAUGCCUCCCAAAUCUCCUUUUCCUUUUGCAUUCUCUCUCUCAGUUGGCCCUGCCAUCCAUCCACCUAGAUUGGGAGGGAGUAUAUCUCUCAAUCUCUCUAUCUCUCUAUCUCUCUAUCUCUCUAUCUCUCUAUCUCUCUAUCUCUCUAUCUCUCUAUCUCUCUAUCUCUCUAUCUAUCUAUCUAUCUAUCUAUCUAUCUAUCUAUCUAUCUAAUCUCUCCCCCCACACACACACCCACAUUGUAUCGCCAAGCCAAUAUCACCCACCCAAGUUCUGAGAUUUUACCUCUUAAAGUCGUUCUCCAAACAGUUGCCUCCUCUCCAUCACUUGGACCUCCGACACCUUUGGGGCCUUAUUCUCUGUUGCCUUAAUGGCUUUUAAGCCCCCUAAAAAGGCUCUGUUCCCAGUCUUGUCCACCUCAACUUCAUCCUCCAUGUAGGAGCGAGAGCGAUCUAUCCAAAACCCACAUCUAAUCCUCUGAACUCUUUACCUAAAGGGUAAGCUAUGGGACUUGCAGUCCAUAUUUCUUGAUACAUACGUAAUAAAAUUCUGCCAGGGUCCGGCCCCUGCCUACAACUCCCAGUUCACAGUCCCUGCUCUGCAGCCUGUUUUUCUUCCUUAUUGCACCCCCUUUACCUGAGAGGUCCCCUAUCUCCCUCCCAUUCUGCCCCCCACCUGACCAUCACCAGCUCAUCUUUAGAAUUCAGCUGAGCCCUCACCACCCCCAGGCUAAGCUUCCUUAAGUCUCUCCUGACAUCUCAUGUGGGGUUAAAGAUCCCUCCUGAGUGCUCCCACAAUGCCUUGCACAUAUCACUAUCACUGCACGUCACCAACCCACUGUUUGAUAAGUAUCUGUUUAUUUACCUAUCUCUCCUACUAUCUAUACAUUUUUGGAAAGCAGGGACAGGACAAGGCAGGUGCUCUGCAUAUGGUUUUUUGAAUCGUCAUUGACUUUGAUAAGUAACAUAAACUUUCUAGGUUUCAGCUUCCUUAUUAUAGAAAGGGGAUAACUCUGCUUACCCCAUGUUGUGAAAUGAAACAGGAUAAUGUCAAUGAAAUGUGUUACGCAGUGCCUGUCAUAUAGUAAGUGCUCAAUUAAAAGUCUCUUCCCUCACCACCAUUCAUCCUCCUGGUACAAUUUUAAUUAAAAGGGAGACUAUAUCUUAUUAUCCUUUGUUUAGUUGUGUGUCUCCCCUUCUGGAGCAUAAGUUCUAUGAGAAAAUGGGGCCAGGUCUGUAUUGUUCAUUGCUUAAUCUUUUGCAUAUGACAGGUGC
ensembl:lncRNA